rnacentral:rRNA from 1 species
GUCCAUGCCGUAAACGUUGGGCACUAGGUGUGGGGACAUUCCACGUUUUCCGCGCCGUAGCUAACGCAUUAAGUGCCCCGCCUGGGGAGUACGGCCGCAAGGCUAAAACUCAAAGGAAUUGACGGGGCCCGCACAAGCGGCGGAGCAUGCGGAUUAAUUCGAUGCAACGCGAAGAACCUUACCAAGGCUUGACAUGUGCUAGAUCGCCAUAGAAAUAUGGUUUCCCCUUUGGGGCUGGUUCACAGGUGGUGCAUGGUUGUCGU